rnacentral:rRNA from 1 species
UGAUCUAGUGGCGGACUGGUGAGUAACACGUGAGCAACCUGCCCUUGAGAGGGGGAUAGCUUCUGGAAACGGAUGGUAAUACCGCAUGACACAGCGAGAUCGCAUGGCCUUGAUGUCAAAGAUUUAUCGCUGAAAGAUGGCCUCGCGUCUGAUUAGCUAGUUGGUGAGGUAACGGCCCACCAAGGCGACGAUCAGUAGCCGGACUGAGAGGUUGACCGGCCACAUUGGGACUGAGAUACGGCCCAGACUCC